AGUGGAUGGGGAGCAACCUAGUUGUGCGUGGGUAAAGGUAGUGCCAAGAAAAGCGAUGAUCAUGUUGAAAAUCAAUUCCCGGUACCCGAAACCGACACAGGUGGGCAAGUAGAGAAUACUAAGGGGCGCGAGGUAACUCUCUCCAAGGAACUCGGCAAAAUGACCCCGUAACUUAGGGAGAAGGGGUGCCACCGAGAGGUGGUCGCAGUGAAGAGGCCCAGGCGACUGUUUAGCAAAAACAUAGGUCUCUGCAAACUCGAAAGAGGAGGUAUAGGGGCUGACGCCUGCCCAGUGCCGGAAGGUUAAAGAAGUUGGUCAGUCUUAGGAUGAAGCUAGCGACUGAAGCCCCGGUGAACGGCGGCCGUAACUAUAACGGUCCUAAGGUAGCGAAAUUCCUUGUCGGGUAAGUUCCGACCCGCACGAAAGGCGUAACGAUCUGGGCGCUGUCUCGGAGAGAGGCUCGGCGAAAUAGGAUUGUCUGUGAAGAUACGGACUACCUGCAUUUGGACAGAAAGACCCUAUGAAGCUUUACUAUAGCUUGGAAUUGUGUUCGGGCUUCCUGUGCGCAGGAUAGGUGGGAGGCGUAGAAGGUAUUCUUGUGGGGAUACUGGAGCCAACGGUGAGAUACCACUCUCAGGAGGCUAGAAUUCUAACUUAAUUAAGGACAGUUUCAGGUGGGUAGUUUGACUGGGGCGGUCGCCUCCAAAAAGGUAACGGAGGCGUACAAAGGUUCCCUCAGACUGGUUGGAAAUCAGUCGAAGAGUGCAAAGGCAGAAGGGAGCUUGACUGCGAGAAGUACAGUUCGAGCAGGGUGGAAACACGGUCUUAGUGAUCCGACGGUGCUGUGUGGAAGGGCCGUCGCUCAACGGAUAAAAGUUACUCUAGGAUAACAGGCUGAUCUCCCCCAAGAGUUCACAUCGACGGGGAGGUUUGGCACCUCGAUGUCGGCUCAUCGCAACCUGGGGCGGAAGUACGUCCCAAGGGUUGGGCUGUUCGCCCAUUAAAGCGGUACGUGAGCUGGGUUCAGAACGUCGUGAGACAGUUCGGUCCAUAUCCGAUGUAGGCGUGAGAAUAUUGAGAGGAGCCUUCCUUAGUACGAGAGGACCGGGAAGGACGCACCGCUGGUGUACCUGUUAUGAUGCCAAUUGUAAACGCAGGGUAGCCAAGUGCGGAGAGGAUAACCGCUGAAAGCAUCUAAGUGGGAAGCCCACCUCAAGAUGAGUAUUCUGGUGUAAGGUCACGGGAAGACGACCCGUAAAUAGGCACGAGGUGGAAGUGCAGAGAUGUAUGAAGCCGAAGUGUACUAAUAGACCGUCGGCUUGACCG
rnacentral:rRNA from 1 species